GUUUGUUCUGUCAUUUUAUCCAUCGAAUUUCUUCAUUCUUUAAUAUUAGUCUGUGACUUCGUCUAAAAAAAUUAUAAUAAAUAGUUUAACAAAUAUUUCAAACUUGGUACAGUAGUAAAGUUAUUGUUUGUGUCAAUCCUUGUUGACGUGAGCCAACACUUACGGCCUUAACACCUCAAUUUGGUAGUGAAAUGCCUAAGUUUUCCGGUGCUUCAGCUACUCAAAAAAACGCCAAUAGACCUGAAAUUCAGUAACAAUCUGCUGCAUAGCCUGAAUGAAAAGUUAAACCACAAUUUUCAUUAGUUCAGUAACAAUGUUGUCGGAGAUCAGGACAAACUUACUAACAAACCUUCCCUUUAAAUUUAUUGUUGUUGUCUUUGGGAGAAUUAAAGAGCUCGGCUCGCACACUGAAAUAUUUCACGUAUUUGUUAAGUAACAUAAUCUAUGAUGGUAUAGAUGUACGGAAGAAAUGAAAACAAGAAUAGGCCGGAACAAUUGGUGCAGAGCACUUCCGGGAAUGAGAGAUUUCCGGGUAACGAGACGACUCUCUGAAAGCCAGAAUAAAAUCCCUCAUCUCCGGAAUUUUCAAGCACGUGCGGAAGUGUACAAUGAGACAUCACCCACUACAGCAGCAGGCAAGGUUGGCUGUGACUCUCAGGAGGUCAAGAUGACUGAGGCAGAGAAAA